UUUAAUAGAAGGAGCACAUAUGAACAAAGGGAUGGGCCACAAAUUCCUCAAGCAUAUAGAAAGAACUAAACAACUACUUUUUGUUGUUGAUGUUUCUGGAUUUCAGCUUUCUUCCCAAACUCAAUACAGAACUGCCUUUGAAACCAUACUACUGCUUUCAAAAGAAUUGGAGUUGUACAGAGAGGAACUUCAGACAAAACCUGCGCUCCUGGCAGUUAAUAAAAUGGACUUGCCAGAUGCCCAAGAUAAAUUCCAUGUACUGAUGAACCAACUCCAGAAUCCUAAAGUGAUGAUGCUUUCAUUUUUCUGAGUCUAGUAGAGGACCUUUUGCACAAAUGAGGAAAGUAGGGUGGAAGAUUUUUUGCAUUUAUUUGAAAAAAACAUGAUUCCAGAGAGGACCGUGGAGUUCCAACACAUCAUCCCCAUCUCUGCAGUUACUGGGGAAGGAAUUGAUGAACUAAAGGACUGUAUAAGGAAAUCUCUGGAUGAACACACCAACCAGGAAAAUGAUGCAUAUCAUAAGAAGCAGUUGCUUAAUUUACGUAUUUCUAAUACAAUAUCUUAUAGUGAGCUACCAUCAAAGAAUGCUGUUACUAGUGCCAGAAUAGAUAUAACUUAAAUCUGUUAAAAGUGAUAUUGAAAUUGCAUUCAUUUGGAAGCUUUUCCACAGACAUAUUUUUUAGAAGGUUAGUUGUUACUAACCUGGUGUAUAUGCCAUCAUUCAAGAACCAUACUUUUUAAAGAUGUUUUGUACUUAAGUCUAUCAACAGUAAAAAAAAGUAACUGAGGGUUAAAAAUGACAGUUUAUAAUUUUAUGGCCAAUUCACCUAUAAUAAAAAUCUUAUAGUAUUCCUGUACAUAUGUCUCUAGUGAGAUCAUUUUUUUAAUUAUAUAAAGGAUUCCUUAUGAGCAACUAGGUUUUGUUUGUUUGUCUUUAAGUCUGUCAUUACCUGGUUCUACUAAAUAUAUAAUAGUUCUCUUUUUUUGGAAAACCUCAAACCCUAAAUUUGAACAUAUUCAGUGAUAAUAAAGACCAUUGAUAAUCAGUAGAUAAAUCUUAGUGAUUUCAGCUUUUGGAAAUUUUUCUUAAGUAUAAGAGUAUUUUUUUCUUGCUUUGGACGCACUGAUGUAUGUCUCAUUUUAUUGUGUCCUAGUCUGUUUCACUGUCUACUUUCAUAUUUUAGUAAGGAGAGUUAAUAGGAAGUACAAUAUUAAACAGUAUUAUCCAUCAUCAGUAUAUUCUCAGGAGAUUAUAAUUUCUAAAUUUCUGCCUGACUUUCAAAAAUACCAUAUUAUACAUUUUCUCUUAAUGCAUCUUAUUAUAAAAUAUACAUGUUAACUGUAAAAUAAAAUAAAAUUUAAACAGUGCAAAAGCAUAUAGAGUUCCCAUCUUUCUGCAUCAGGCUCUCCAGUUCUCAGAGAAAACCACGUGUUCUUGCAGAAUUUUUUAAUGCAUAUAUCUUUCUGCCUAAAUGAGUUCAUCAUAUAAGACUUUCCAAGGUUUUUUGGCUUUUACAAAAUAGUAGCAAGUUAAUGAGCUUCUAAAAACUAUUCUUCAGUGCUACUUUUAAACUAUUAGGAAUUGUUUUGGAAUUUAAGGCUAAGUGAAGCCUUAACAUGUGGCUAUAAGUAUUAACUAAAAAUGGCACUAUCAUUCUACUUAAAUUUCUUCUGAUAUGACAAUGUGAGUGACUUCUUACAAGUGUUAUUUCACUUUUAUUUGUUCUGUUUUCUAUUCCCCACUCCCACCUCCCAUCCCAGUCCCCAGCACUGGCUUUUCUUGUGUUUCUUUUCAUUGCAUGGCUAUUUAUUGAGUGUCUCCCCUGUGCCAGGCACUGUGCGAGGCUCUGCAUGUACAGUGUUAAGGAGAAUAGACAGGACCUGCUGCCCUCAUGGAUCUCACGUUCAACAUCAGAAGCUGCAGAGGAUUAGAGCACUUUACAGCAAAGGAGUAGGAGUGAGGAAAGCGUUUGGAAUUUGAACAUCUUUACUGAUCAUAGUGACCAUGUUUCAUAUUGGGUAUGUUUUACAUUUAUAACUUGAGUGUCAUUUUUCUCUUUUUCACUUCUAUUAUUUCCUAAGUAUGAACAAGUAGCAGUGUGAUGACAGUUUGAUCAGGUGAAUUUCUGAACUUCUGACACCAUAAUCUUAUUUUUUGCUGUGGCAAAGGAUAGUAGAUGUGUGUUGAGGACUAAGACGAAUUGUAGCUUAUUUGUUGUGUCUGUAUUGCCCAGGUUACUACUCCACAACUAACUGAAACAUUUUAUGUAACUCACUAAAAUGUUCCAUUAUUUGUAUUUUCUUCUUACCAAAAGUGUACUCUAUGUACCUUUAUCUGAUGGUUGAUUUUUAUUGUAUAUGAAAGAAGAAAAUCUGAAUUCCUUUUUUAUUUUAUAAAAAGUAAAUUUUAAACACUUAAAGAUUUAUUUUGAAAUUAAUAUUUUAACUGCCAUUUAUUUUGUCCUUAAUA